CAGCAGCCACGGGAAUACGUAGGGUGCAAGCGUUAAUCGGAAUUACUGGGCGUAAAGCGUGCGCAGGCGGUUAUAUAAGACAGAUGUGAAAUCCCCGGGCUCAACCUGGGAACUGCAUUUGUGACUGUAUAGCUAGAGUACGGCAGAGGGGGAUGGAAUUCCGCGUGUAGCAGUGAAAUGCGUAGAUAUGCGGAGGAACACCGAUGGCGAAGGCAAUCCCCUGGGCCUGUACUGACGCUCAUGCACGAAAGCGUGGGGAGCAAACAGGAUUAGAUACCCCUGUAGUCCCUGUCUCUUAUAC
rnacentral:rRNA from 1 species